rnacentral:rRNA from 1 species
UCGUGUCGUGAGAUGUUGGGUUAAGUCCCGCAACGAGCGCAACCCUCACCCCUUGUUGCCAUCAGGUCAUGCUGGGCACUCUAGGGGAACUGCCCCGGUCAACGGGGAGGAAGGUGGGGAUGACGUCAAGUCAUCAUGCCCCUUACGCCCUGGGCUACACACGUGCUACAAUGGCUGGUACAAAGGGAUGCAAGGCCGCGAGGUGGAGCUAAACCCAAAAAGCCGGUCUAAGUUCAGAUUGGAGUCUGCAACUCGACUCCAUGAAGGAGGAAUCGCUAGUAAUCGC